GGGUAAAGAUUUCUCGCUUAGGGAAAGGCCUGUGAAGUAUCAGCUUGUUGGUAGUGUAAUAGACUACCAAGGCUAUGACGCUUAGGGGAGCUGAGAGGCUGACCCCCACCGAUGGGACUGAGACACGGCCCAUACACCUACGGGUGGCUGCAGUCGAGAAUCUUCCGCAAUGGACGAAAGUCUGACGGAGCGACGCCGCGUGAUUGAAGAAGCAAUUCGUUGUGUAAAAAUCUUUUAUGAGGGAAGAAGUUUAUUGACGGUACCUCAUGAAUAAGGGGCUCCUAAUCUCGUGCCAGCAGGAGCGGUAAUACGAGAGCCCCGAGCGUUAUCCGGAAUUAUUGGGCGUAAAGGGUGCGUAGGCGGUGAUGUUAGUCGUUUGUCAAAUCCUCGGGCUUAACCCGAGACUCGCGAACGAAACGGCAUUGCUAGAGAAUGUGGGGAGUAUGGGGAACUCAUGGUGUAGGGGUGAAAUCCGUUGAUAUCAUGGGGAACACCGAAAGCGAAAGCACCAUACUAACACAUAUCUGACGCUCAAGCACGAAAGCGUGGGUAGCGAAUGGUAAAAGAUACCCCAGUAGUCCACGCCCUAAACGAUGAUCUCUAAAGGUCGGAGUAUCGACCCUCUGAGAGACGUAAGUAACGCGUUAAGAGAUCCGCCUGGGAAGUACGGCCGCAAGGCUAAAACUCAAAGGAAUAGACGGGGACUUGCACAAGUAGUGGAUUAUGUGGUUUAAUUCGAUGAUAAACGAAGAACCUUACCAAGGUUAGAAACCAAUUUGAAAGCCCUAAGAAACUAGGGCCCUCGCAAGACAGAUUGGCAGGUGAUGCAUGGCCGUCGUCAGUUCGUGGUUUGAAUUGUUCCCUUAAGUGGGGUAACGAACGCAACCCUCAUCGUGUGUUAUAAGUGUCACACGAGACUGCCC
rnacentral:rRNA from 1 species